GGAUGGAUCAUUCUUGUUGAAAACAACCAACCCAAGGAUACGUUGGCGUUACAAACAUUAAGAAAACAUUCGUUUAAUAUAAAACUUUUGGCGAUGGAUGACUCGACUCUCGUAACGAGGAAGGACGCAGCAAACUGCGAUAAGCAUUAUGACUUGCGAACACUCGUGAAUCACUCGACUUCUGAACGCAAUUGUACUCUUUGACUUGUCUUCGAGUAUGUUUGGUUCGGCAUCUAUUAGCUUUGACACGAAGUGUUGAUCAGCGCUCUCAGGCAAGGCCCGUUAGCGUUUCGGUCUCGAGUAAGCUUCUUGGUUCACACCUAUAGUGAUACUGUGGGGUGUCAAGCAGCAGCGAUGUUCUUCAAACUGGAUCCGAGCUCAAGCAAGAACACCCGCUGAAUUUAAGCAUAUAACUAAGCGGAGGAAAAGAAACCAACAGGGAUUCUCAGAGUAGUGGCGAACGAAAUGGGAUGAGCCCAAGAUGUGAAUCCAGUUUACGCUGGAAUUGUGCAUCGUGUCGACACAAGCGAGAACUUCCAGAUAAGAUGUCAGGAAGGACAUGCCGUAGACGGUGAUAGCCCGGUACGUGCUGGAAGUUUCGAGCGUACUGUGUCUGCACAAUGAGUCACGCUCUUUGGGAGUAGAGCGCAAAACGGGUGGUAACCUCCAUCCAUGGCUAAAUAUUCACGAGAGAUCGAUAGGAAACAAGUACCGUGAGGGAAAGUUGAAAAGCACUUCGAAAGGAGAGUUAAAAUACCUGAAAUCGCUAAAAGGGAAGCGACUGUUUGUGACCCGUUCAUUACGAGGACUAGCAUAGAAAGAGCUCCCGCCUCCGCACCAGUUAAUCCUGGGGAGAAGGCGACGAGAUUAGUGUUCUGUCCUUUUAAUGUCACUCGGCAACAUUUCGAAUGUGGGUUACACCCGCGAAGCUUAUUCGAGGGAUGCAACCAAUAUUUGGAAUGAUGUCCACCUCCGCAGGUUGCCGAGAGUGGCACAAACAGGCGACCCGUCUUGAAACACGGACCAAGGAGUUAAACAUGUGUGCGAGUGUAAGAGUGGUAAACUCCUACGCGCAGUGAAAGCAAUAACGGUAGAUGCAAAUGCAACCGUGGCCGACUAUAAGUUCGAGCUUGAGCAUAUUUGUUUAGACCCGAAAGAUGGUGACCUAUACCUGAGUUGGGUGAAGCCAGGGGAAACCCUGGUGGAAGCUCGUAGCGAUACUGACGUGCAAAUCGUUCGUCGAACUUGGGCAUAGGGGCGAAAGACUAAUCGAACCAUCUAGUAGCUGGUUCCCUC
rnacentral:misc_RNA from 1 species